AAUUGGGGGAUAGGAGGGAAUUAGGAAUAAAACUGGACGAAAUCUAUCGCGCGACGUAAUUCGCGGUAUGCUAUUUUCGUCGAACACGAUUCGAGAAUUCUAUCCAUCACAGUGGGUGAGUCACUAUUACCAUAGGGAUCACCGAGAGAACAGAGACGAGCAAACGAAAAGAGAACACACGAACAGUGGAAGGGACAACGAUCGUCCAGGACCGCAAAGACGACGAUACACGCCUUUUGAAUAACCACUGACUGACCUCACUGCUUUUUUAUAGUCACCGAAUAUACGGCGUGCAUUCGCUUUACGCGUAACGUAUGGCUGUCUUCGAUUGAGAAACAAGCAAGCCACUAUAGUGGUAUACCGUUC